rnacentral:rRNA from 1 species
CUACGGGAGGCAGCAGUGGGGAAUCUUGGACAAUGGGGGCAACCCUGAUCCAGCGAUGCCGCGUGGGUGAAGAAGGCCUUCGGGUUGUAAAGCCCUUUAGGUUGGGAAGAAGGAUGAUAGUUUAAGAGAUAAUCAUCUUGACGGUACCAACAGAAUAAGCACCGGCAAACUCUGUGCCAGCAGCCGCGGUAAUACAGAGGGUGCAAGCGUUAAUCGGAGUUACUGGGCGUAAAGGGCGCGUAGGCGGUUUUGUGAGUGUGAUGUGAAAGCCCCGGGCUUAACCUGGGAAGUGCAUCGCAAACGACAGAACUGGAGUAGAUGAGAGGGUGGCGGAAUUUCCGGUGUAGCGGUGAAAUGCGUAGAGAUCGGAAGGAACGUCAAUGGCGAAGGCAGCCACCUGGCAUCAUACUGACGCUGAGGCGCGAAAGCGUGGGGAUCGAACAGGAUUAGAUACCCCCGUAGUC